GAUGAACGCUGGCGGCGUGCCUAAUACAUGCAAGUCGAGCGAACAGACGAGGAGCUUGCUCCUCUGACGUUAGCGGCGGACGGGUGAGUAACACGUGGAUAACCUACCUAUAAGACUGGGAUAACUUCGGGAAACCGGAGCUAAUACCGGAUAAUAUAUUGAACCGCAUGGUUCAAUAGUGAAAGACGGUUUUGCUGUCACUUAUAGAUGGAUCCGCGCCGCAUUAGCUAGUUGGUAGGGUAACGGCUUACCAAGGCGACGAUGCGUAGCCGACCUGAGAGGGUGAUCGGCCACACUGGAACUGAGACACGGUCCAGACUCCUACGGGAGGCAGCAGUAGGGAAUCUUCCGCAAUGGGCGAAAGCCUGACGGAGCAACGCCGCGUGAGUGAUGAAGGUCUUCGGAUCGUAAAACUCUGUUAUUAGGGAAGAACAAAUGUGUAAGUAACUAUGCACGUCUUGACGGUACCUAAUCAGAAAGCCACGGCUAACUACGUG
rnacentral:rRNA from 1 species